AUACGUAGGGGGCGAGCGUUGUCCGGAAUGAUUGGGCGUAAAGGGCGCGUAGGCGGCCCGGUAAGUCUGGAGUGAAAGUCCUGUUUUUAAGAUGGGAAUUGCUUUGGAUACUGUCGGGCUUGAGUGCAGGAGAGGUAAGUGGAAUUCCCAGUGUAGCGGUGAAAUGCGUAGAGAUUGGGAGGAACACCAGUGGCGAAGGCGACUUACUGGACUGUAACUGACGCUGAGGCGCGAAAGUGUGGGGAGCAAACAGGAUUAGAUACCCUGGUAGUCCACACUGUAAACGAUGAAUGCUAGGUGUAGGGGGUAUCGACCCCUUCUGUGCCGCAGUCAACACAAUAAGCAUUCCGCCUGGGGAGUACGGCCGCAAGGUUGAAACUCAGUGGAAUUUUCGGGG
rnacentral:rRNA from 1 species